AUGAACGCUGGCGGCGUGCCUAAUCCAUGCAAGUCGAGCGAACGGACGAGAAGCUUGCUUCUCUGAUGUUAGCGGCGGACGGGUGAGUAACACGUGGAUAACCUACCUAUAAGACUGGGAUAACUUCGGGAAACCGGAGCUAAUACCGGAUAAUAUUUUGAACCGCAUGGUUCAAAAGUGAAAGACGGUCUUGCUGUCACUUAUAGAUGGAUCCGCGCUGCAUUAGCUAGUCGGUAAGGUAACGGCUUACCAAGGCAACGAUGCAUAGCCGACCUGAGAGGGUGAUCGGCCACACUGGAACUGAGACACGGUCCAGACUCCUACGGGAGGCAGCAGUAGGGAAUCUUCCGCAAUGGGCGAAAGCCUGACGGAGCAACGCCGCGUGAGUGAUGAAGGUCUUCGGAUCGUAAAACUCUGUUAUUAGGGAAGAACAUAUGUGUAAGUAACUGUGCACAUCUUGACGGUACCUAAUCAGAAAGCCACGGCUAACUACGUG
rnacentral:rRNA from 1 species